AGUGAACGCUGGCGGUAGGCCUAACACAUGCAAGUCGAACGGCAGCACAGUAAGAGCUUGCUCUUACGGGUGGCGAGUGGCGGACGGGUGAGGAAUACAUCGGAAUCUACUUUUUCGUGGGGGAUAACGUAGGGAAACUUACGCUAAUACCGCAUACGACCUACGGGUGAAAGCAGGGGAUCUUCGGACCUUGCGCGAUUGAAUGAGCCGAUGUCGGAUUAGCUAGUUGGCGGGGUAAAGGCCCACCAAGGCGACGAUCCGUAGCUGGUCUGAGAGGAUGAUCAGCCACACGGGAACUGAGACACGGUCCAGACUCCUACGGGAGGCAGCAGUGGGGAAUAUUGGACAAUGGGCGCGAGCAUGAUCCAGCCAUACCGCGUGGGUGAAGAAGGCCUUCGGGUUGUAAAGCCCUUUUGUUGGGAAAGAAAAGCAGCAGGUUAAUACCCCGCUGUUCUGACGGUACCCAAAGAAUAAGCACCGGCUAACUUCGUG
rnacentral:rRNA from 1 species